rnacentral:rRNA from 1 species
GACGAACGCUGGCGGCGUGCCUAAUACAUGCAAGUCGAACGCUGAAGGAGGAGCUUGCUUCUCCGGAUGAGUUGCGAACGGGUGAGUAACGCGUAGGUAACCUGCCUGGUAGCGGGGGAUAACUAUUGGAAACGAUAGCUAAUACCGCAUAAGAGUAGAUGUCGCAUGACAUUUGCUUAAAAGGUGCAACUGCACCACUACCAGAUGGACCUGCGUUGUAUUAGCUAGUUGGUGAGGUAACGGCUCACCAAGGCAACGAUACAUAGCCGACCUGAGAGGGGGAUCGGCCACACUGGGACUGAGACACGGCCCAGACUGCUACGGGAGGCAGCAGUAGUGAAUCUGCGGCAAUGGACGGAAGUCUGACCGAGCAACGCCGCGUGAGUGAAGAAGGUUUUCGGAUCGUAAAGCUCUGUUGUAAGGGAAGAACGAGUGUGAGAGUGGAAAGUUCACACUGUGACGGUAUCUGACCAGAAAGGGACGGCUAACUACGUG